rnacentral:rRNA from 1 species
UAUAAGUGAUGGGCGAUACAUUUUCACCUUGUAGGACGUAGUAAAGUAACUCUCGUUGAAGCAAGUUGAAGAAGCUGCCUAAUGAACAAUUUACAAGCUCUCAUUGACCUAACAUCAGGUAGGGAUACCCCCUGAACUUAAGCAUAUCAAUAAGGGGAGGAAAAGAAACCAACAGGGAUUGCCUUAGUAACGGCGAGUGAAGCGGCAAAAGCUCAAAUUUGAAAUCGGAUAGUCUUGCGACCUCCGAGUUGUAAUUUGUAGGGGCGACUUUGGGUAUACAGCCAGGUCUAUGUUCCUUGGAACAGGACGUCAUGGAGGGUGAGAAUCCCGUAAAUGGCUUGGCCAGUGCCUAUGUAUAGCGCUUUCAACGAGUCGAGUUGUUUGGGAAUGCAGCUCUAAGUGGGUGGUAAAUUCCAUCUAAAGCUAAAUAUUGGCGAGAGACCGAUAGCGUACAAGUAGAGUGAUCGAAAGGUGAAAAGCACUCCGGAAGGAGAGUUAAACAGCACGUGAAAUUGUUGAAAGGGAAGCGCUUGAGACCAGACUCAGGUAAAGUUGAUCAACCUCCAUUCUUGGUGGUGCACUCUUCUUUGCCCGGGCCAGCAACAGUUUUGGCGGUGGUAUAAAGGUUUAGGGAAUGUGGCUCUCAAUUUGGGAGUGUUAUAGCCCUAUUCGUAAUGCCGCCUGCUGAGACUGAGGACCGC